rnacentral:piRNA from 1 species
GCAGAACAAACUGGAGUCUAGAC